AGAGUUUGAUCCUGGCUCAGAUUGAACGCUGGCGGCAUGCUUUACACAUGCAAGUCGAACGGCAGCGNNNGGCAACCUGGCGGCGAGUGGCGAACGGGUGAGUAAUAUAUCGGAACGUACCCAGAAGUGGGGGAUAACGUAGCGAAAGUUACGCUAAUACCGCAUACGAUCUACGGAUGAAAGUGGGGGACCUUCGGGCCUCAUGCUUGUGGAGCGGCCGAUAUCUGAUUAGCUAGUUGGUAGGGUAAAGGCCUACCAAGGCGACGAUCAGUAGCUGGUCUGAGAGGACGACCAGCCACACUGGAACUGAGACACGGUCCAGACUCCUACGGGAGGCAGCAGUGGGGAAUUUUGGACAAUGGGCGCAAGCCUGAUCCAGCAAUGCCGCGUGAGUGAAGAAGGCCUUCGGGUUGUAAAGCUCUUUUGUCAGGGAAGAAACGGUGGGAGCUAAUAUCUCCUACUAAUGACGGUACCUGAAGAAUAAGCACCGGCUAACUACGUGCCAGCAGCCGCGGUAAUACGUAGGGUGCAAGCGUUAAUCGGAAUUACUGGGCGUAAAGCGUGCGCAGGCGGUUUUGUAAGUCUGUCGUGAAAGCCCCGGGCUCAACCUGGGAAUUGCGAUGGAGACUGCAAGGCUUGAAUCUGGCAGAGGGGGGUAGAAUUCCACGUAGCAGUGAAAUGCGUAGAGAUGUGGAGGAACACCGAUGGCGAAGGCAGCCCCCUGGGUCAAGAUUGACGCUCAUGCACGAAAGCGUGGGGAGCAAACAGGAUUAGAUACCCUAGUAGUCC
rnacentral:rRNA from 1 species